GUAGGGGGCAAGCGUUGUCCGGAAUUAUUGGGCGUAAAGCGCGCGCAGGCUGCCCGCUAAGUCAGAUGUGAAAUCCCUCGGCUCAACCGAGGACCUGCAUUUGAAACUGGUGGGCUAGAGUACAGGAGAGGGAAGUGGAAUUCCUAGUGUAGCGGUGAAAUGCGCAGAUAUUAGGAAGAACACCGGUGGCGAAGGCGGCUUCCUGGACUGUUACUGACGCUGAGGUGCGAAAGCUAGGGGAGCAAACAGGAUUAGAUACCCUGGUAGUCCUAGCCGUAAACGAUGGUCACUAGGUGUAGGGGGUUAUCAACUCCCCCUGUGCCGAAGCUAACGCAUUAAGUGACCCGCCUGGGGAGUACGGCCGCAAGGCUA
rnacentral:rRNA from 1 species